rnacentral:other from 6 species
UGUCCCCUGGUCCGUUCGCCAGCCGGGUUAUGUCCCUGAGCCGAUGUUGUACCAAAAGGGAACCAAUAUUGACCGGCCUGUGCGCAUGUCCGCCAUCGAGCGGAAAGCCUGAUGGUCCGGUCUGCGGUUUCCGCCUUGAACCUGACGGUUCAAGGGCCACACCCGCAGCGGCGGCCCGGGGGGCAC